rnacentral:rRNA from 1 species
UGAGGAAUAUUGGUCAAUGGGCGCGAGCCUGAACCAGCCAAGUCGCGUGAAGGAUGAAGGUUCUAUGGAUUGUAAACUUCUUUUAUGGGGGAAUAAAGUGCGGGACGCGUCCCGUUUUGUAUGUACCUCAUGAAUAAGCAUCGGCUAACUCCGUGCCAGCAGCCGCGGUAAUACGGAGGAUGCGAGCGUUAUCCGGAUUCAUUGGGUUUAAAGGGUGCGUAGGUGGCCUUGCAAGUCAGCGGUGAAAGGCCCGGGCUCAACCCGGAAAGUGCCGUUGAUACUGUGAGGCUGGAAUGCGGAUGCUGUGGGAGGAAUGAGUGGUGUAGCGGUGAAAUGCAUAGAUAUCACUCAGAACACCGAUUGCGAAGGCAUCUCACAAAUCCGCAAUUGACGCUGAGGCACGAAAGCGUGGGGAUCGAACAGGAUUAGAUACCCUGGUAGU